GCGUGCCUAAUACAUGCAAGUCGAGCGAACGGACGAGAAGCUUGCUUCUCUGAUGUUAGCGGCGGACGGGUGAGUAACACGUGGAUAACCUACCUAUAAGACUGGGAUAACUUCGGGAAACCGGAGCUAAUACCGGAUAAUAUUUUGAACCGCAUGGUUCAAAAGUGAAAGACGGUCUUGCUGUCACUUAUAGAUGGAUCCGCGCUGCAUUAGCUAGUUGGUAAGGUAACGGCUUACCAAGGCAACGAUGCAUAGCCGACCUGAGAGGGUGAUCGGCCACACUGGAACUGAGACACGGUCCAGACUCCUACGGGAGGCAGCAGUAGGGAAUCUUCCGCAAUGGGCGAAAGCCUGACGGAGCAACGCCGCGUGAGUGAUGAAGGUCUUCGGAUCGUAAAACUCUGUUAUUAGGGAAGAACAUAUGUGUAAGUAACUGUGCACAUCUUGACGGUACCUAAUCAGAAAGCCACGGCUAACUACGUGCCAGCAGCCGCGGUAAUACGUAGGUGGCAAGCGUUAUCCGGAAUUAUUGGGCGUAAAGCGCGCGUAGGCGGUUUUUUAAGUCUGAUGUGAAAGCCCACGGCUCAACCGUGGAGGGUCAUUGGAAACUGGAAAACUUGAGUGCAGAAGAGGAAAGUGGAAUUCCAUGUGUAGCGGUGAAAUGCGCAGAGAUAUGGAGGAACACCAGUGGCGAAGGCGACUUUCUGGUCUGUAACUGACGCUGAUGUGCGAAAGCGUGGGGAU
rnacentral:rRNA from 1 species